rnacentral:rRNA from 1 species
UACGUAGGGUGCGAGCGUUAAUCGGAAUUACUGGGCGUAAAGCGUGCGCAGGCGGUUCGUUGUGUCGGUGGUGAAAUCCCCGGGCUUAACCUGGGAAUGGCCAUGGAAACUGGCGAACUGGAGUGUGGCAGAGGGGGGUGGAAUUCCGCGUGUAGCAGUGAAAUGCGUAGAGAUGCGGAGGAACACCGAUGGCGAAGGCAGCCCCCUGGGCUAGCACUGACGCUCAGGCACGAAAGCGUGGGGAGCAAACAGG